ACACAUGCAGUCGAGCGGUAGCACAGAAGAGCUUGCUCUUUGGGUGACGAGCGGCGGACGGGUGAGUAAUGUCUGGGAAACUGCCUGAUGGAGGGGGAUAACUACUGGAAACGGUAGCUAAUACCGCAUAACCUCGCAAGAGCAAAGAGGGGGACCUUCGGGCCUCUCGCCAUCAGAUGUGCCCAGAUGGGAUUAGCUAGUAGGUGAGGUAAUGGCUCACCUAGGCGACGAUCCCUAGCUGGUCUGAGAGGAUGACCAGCCACACUGGAACUGAGACACGGUCCAGACUCCUACGGGAGGCAGCAGUGGGGAAUAUUGCACAAUGGGCGCAAGCCUGAUGCAGCCAUGCCGCGUGUGUGAAGAAGGCCUUCGGGUUGUAAAGCACUUUCAGCGAGGAGGAAGGCGGUAAGGUUAAUAACCUUAUCGAUUGACGUUACUCGCAGAAGAAGCACCGGCUAACUCCGUGCCAGCAGCCGCGGUAAUACGGAGGGUGCAAGCGUUAAUCGGAAUGACUGGGCGUAAAGCGCACGCAGGCGGUCUGUUAAGUUGGAUGUGAAAUCCCCGGGCUUAACCUGGGAACUGCAUUCAAAACUGACAGGCUAGAGUCUUGUAGAGGGGGGUAGAAUUCCAGGUGUAGCGGUGAAAUGCGUAGAGAUCUGGAGGAAUACCGGUGGCGAAGGCGGCCCCCUGGACAAAGACUGACGCUCAGGUGCGAAAGCGUGGGGAGCAAACAGGAUUAGAUACCCUGGUAGUCCACGCUGUAAACGAUGUCGAUUUGGAGGUUGUGCCCUUGAGGCGUGGCUUCCGGAGCUAACGCGUUAAAUCGACCGCCUGGGGAGUACGGCCGCAAGGUUAAAACUCAAUGAAUUGACGGGGGCCCGCACAAGGGGCGGGGGGAGCAUGUGGUUUUAAUUCGAAUGCAAGGCGAAAAACCUUACCCUACUUCCUUGACAUCCAGAGAACUUUUUCCAAAGAUGAGAUUGGUGCCCUUUCGGAACUUCUGAGACAGGUGGUUGCAUGCCGUUCGUCAGCUCGUGUUGUAAAAGUUGGGUUAAGUCCCGCAACGAGCGCAAACUUAUCCCUUGUUGGCAGCGAUUGUGUCGGGAACUCAAAGGAGACUGCCGGUGAUAAACCGGAGGAAGGUGGGGAUGACGUCAAGUCAUCAUGGCCCUUGCGAGUAGGGCUACACACGUGCUACAAUGGCGUAUACAAAGAGAAGCGACCUCGCGAGAGCAAGCGGACCUCAUAAAGUACGUCGUAGUCCGGAUUGGAGUCUGCAACUCGACUCCAUGAAGUCGGAAUCGCUAGUAAUCGUAGAUCAGAAUGGUACGGUGAAUACGUUCCCGGGCCUUGUACACACCGCCCGUCACACCAUGGGAGUGGGUUGCAAAAGAAGUAGGUAGCUUAACCUUCGGGAGGGCGCUACCA
rnacentral:rRNA from 1 species